rnacentral:rRNA from 1 species
GACGAACGCUGGCGGCGUGCCUAAUACAUGCAAGUCGAGCGAAGUUUUUCUGGUGCUUGCACCGGAAAAACUUAGCGGCGAACGGGUGAGUAACACGUAAAGAACCUGCCUUAUAGACUGGGACAACUAUUGGAAACGAUAGCUAAUACCGGAUAACAGCAUUAACUGCAUGGUUGAUGUUUGAAAGUUGGUUUUGCUAACACUAUGAGAUGGCUUUGCGGUGCAUUAGCUAGUUGGUGGGGUAAAGGCCUACCAAGGCGACGAUGCAUAGCCGACCUGAGAGGGUGAUCGGCCACACUGGGACUGAGACACGGCCCAGACUCCUACGGGAGGCAGCAGUAGGGAAUCUUCCGCAAUGGGCGAAAGCCUGACGGAGCAACGCCGCGUGAGUGAAGAAGGAUUUCGGUUCGUAAAGCUCUGUUGUUAGGGAAGAAUGAUUGUGUAGUAACGAUACACAGUAGAGACGGUACCUAACCAGAAAGCCACGGCUAACUACGUG